rnacentral:rRNA from 1 species
GUCCACGCCGUAAACGAUGACUACUAGGUGUCGGGGAGCAAAGCUCUUCGGUGCCGCAGCAAACGCAAUAAGUAGUCCACCUGGGGAGUACGUUCGCAAGAAUGAAACUUAAAGGAAUUGACGGGGACCCGCACAAGCGGUGGAGCAUGUGGUUUAAUUCGAAGCAACGCGAAGAACCUUACCUGCUCUUGACAUCCCGGUGACCGGCAUGUAAUGAUGCCUUUUCUUCGGAACACCGGUGACAGGUGGUGCAUGGUUGUCGU